UACAGACAUAUAUUGAAUACAGACUGAUUAUGGAUUAACUGGUAUGAGCCAAGCAUCUGUUUUUCGCUGGCGCAAUAGGUUCAAAGAUGGUAGAGAGGA